rnacentral:rRNA from 1 species
AAACUUUCAACAACGGAUCUCUUGGUUCCCGCAUCGAUGAAGAACGCAGCGAAACGCGAUAGUUAAUGUGAAUUGCAGAAUUCAGUGAAUCAUCGAGUCUUUGAACGCACAUUGCGCCUCCUGGUAUUCCGGGAGGCACGUCCGUUUGAGCGUCAGC